rnacentral:rRNA from 1 species
CCUACGGGGUGCAGCAGUAAGGGAUAUUGGUCAAUGGGGGAAACCCUGAACCAGCAACGCCGCGUGAGGGAAGACGGUUUUCGGAUUGUAAACCUCUGUCCUCUGUGAAGAUGAUGACGGUAGCAGAGGAGGAAGCUCCGGCUAACUACGUGCCAGCAGCCGCGGUAAUACGUAGGGAGCGAGCGUUGUCCGGAUUUACUGGGUGUAAAGGGUGCGUAGGCGGCUUGGCAAGUCAGUAGUGAAAUCCAUGGGCUUAACCCAUGAACUGCUAUUGAAACUGUCGAGCUUGAGUGAAGUAGAGGUAGGCGGAAUUCCAGGUGUAGGAGUGAAAUCCGUAGAUAUCUGGAGGAACAUCAGUUGCGAAGGCGACUAUCUGGCACAUAACUGACGCUGAGGAGCGAAAGCGUGGGUAGCAAACAGGAUUAGAUACCCCUGUAGUC